rnacentral:rRNA from 1 species
GAUGAACGCUGGCGGCGUGCCUAAUACAUGCAAGUCGAGCGAACGGACGAGAAGCUUGCUUCUCUGAUGUUAGCGGCGGACGGGUGAGUAACACGUGGAUAACCUACCUAUAAGACUGGGAUAACUUCGGGAAACCGGAGCUAAUCCCGGAUAAUAUUUUGAACCGCAUGGUUCAAAAGUGAAUGACGGUCUUGCUGUCACUUAUAGAUGGAUCCGCGCUGCAUUAGCUAGUUGGUAAGGUAACGGCUUACCAAGGCAACGAUGCAUAGCCGACCUGAGAGGGUGAUCGGCCACACUGGAACUGAGACACGGUCCAGACUCCUACGGGAGGCAGCGGUAGGGAAUCUUCCGCAAUGGGCGAAAGCCUGACGGAGCAACGCCGCGUGAGUGAUGAAGGUCUUCGGAUCGUAAAACUCUGUUAUUAGGGAAGAACAUAUGUGUAAGUAACUGUGCACAUCUUGACGGUACCUAAUCAGAAAGCCACGGCUAACUACGUG